AAUCUGGUUUUGGGAGACUUAGGGAGUAAAGUAAGGGGUUUGGUACUAGUGUCACUUCACAUACUAAAACCAAUUCGUAGAUGCAAAGUGAAAAGAGUAAUUGAAACAUCUUAAUUUAUCACCAACUUAGUUUUUGUUUUAUUGCUUUUCCAUGCAAGCAAAUCCCUGAAAAGGUGUCUACUGAGAUUAGAGAGAGGAUUUAUUUACAAUUUAAAAAAAAAAUAAUUGAAAACCAUUGGUAUUUUUUGUGGUGUACAUUGAACAAGGUGUGCUUUCACGUCUCAUUUGUGGGAUUUCAGCCUCAUUCUUGCACCUAAUGACACUGCUGAAAAGCCAUAGGGCUUCACUGUCUAGUGAGGCUGAUACAGUCAGUGUACUCAAGGUGUGAUAAUGUUCAUGAUGAUGUAGUUGGUUUAAGAUGUUCUUUUUCUGCACACUUUUAGAAAGACAGCUGUCUCCAAAAUUGAGAAAAAGGAGAAUAAUUGCAAACAGAUAAACCAAAUGGAGAGAUGUGUUCAGCUAAAGGUCUAUACUGUCAGCACUGUUGUCUUCCAAGCUGGUCUGUAGCUGAACUAUUUUUGUAAAUAUAUAAAUGCCAGUAACCACUUGAGCGGGGCACUUGAUUCCAGUUUUUAUGGGCGGUGCCUAUAAUGGACAACGGUAGUGUAUCCAAGCCAAGUUGGCCAUCUUUGUGCUUUACAAUGCCAAAAACUUCAAAGCUUCUUCCUUUUAGAACUCUAAAGCAAUGCAAGUUUGUGUUUCUUCAUAUCAUCAAACUUAAUUAUUGGCAAUAAGCAACUGCUGGCAGGAGCAGCACGUCACAUGGCUCCGUUUCUGCUUUAGAAAAGGUCAGCAUAUGGCAUAAACACUUUGCUGUAUUAUGCAGCCUUGUACUCUGAUCACAUAACACAUGCUUCAGAAAGCAUUAUGCAAUGUUAUACUCACUGAUUAAUGACUGCUUGCACAAGAAGUUUUUCAUUACCCUGAAUGCUAGCAUCCUGGGAAUGAUUAACUUUGUGACAUAACUCUCAUCACAUAAAUAUGGAAGAUUCAAAUAUAGCCUCAAAAUAACGUGUUUCAGAAAUAACUGAACACUUUCUUGCUUGGUACUGUGUACAGUACAUGAUUAACAACUGCUUUAAACCUUCAGAGUUGAAUAGAAGAGCCUAUUUGUGAGAACUGGAAACAAGAUUUAUUUUUAGGGUUUAAAGUUUUACCCAAGGUGAUUUUUUGCACACAGCAGCAUCUCAUUCGCAAUGUUUUUCCUCCGCUUGUGUAAGUUUGAAUUUCCUGAGAAGAAUCUGUGCCAACUAUUUUCAGUCUUCAACCAGUGAGUUAAACAGAACAAGUCAAAUCUAGCCCUUAUUUAGACCAGCAACUGCGUGUGUGUAAAAUGACUCAGUCCAGUGUGUUCAGUAUUACAAUGCAUACAGUUGUGUGCUUAAAUCAGCAUGGUUAUAGCAGAGUAAAUUCCCAAUAAUUGCUGAUUUUCCUGCAAGCAGAUGAAGAAAGCACAGUGUGGUCCCGAAUGAAGCAGCUUGCAAACUUACAGUCUGAACAUUGCUACACGUUCACAUUUAACAUUUUUGUAUUCUAUUGAUUUAUCAUUCCAUGUUCAAAUUUUGCAGAAUCUUAUGUUAAAAAGCAUGAUGACAGUGCAUCACAGAUGUUAUCAUCUUAAGGAUGUACAAAAGGGGAAAAGCCUAUAAAAAGAAGUGUUCCUCACCAUAUUCCUCCACAUAUGAAGAUUCAUCUCCAGUUUUGAAGUACUGUCAAUUGCUACCAGUUAUCUAUGUUUCAACAGCUUUGUUAAGGAGAAAGUUGCUUUGCCUAUUUGGAAAUUCAAGAUCAGUUUUCACAAGGAAAUAACUAUAUUAAACUUCCACUUACUAAUUUUCCUUUAAAUGUCAGACUAAAAAAAAUGACAUCUGCUUCUUAUGAUUCUCUCUCCUGUAAGUAAUCCUGCUCACAAACAGUCACAUUAAAUAAAGCUACUUAAAGUCCUUACAAUAGGGGGGAUGGUUUAGGAUGUCACCACAUUAAUGCAUGUGUGCCAUUUCUUCUGAAAUGAUCUGCAUUGAGAAAAGCUAGAGAAGGUAAACAUUGACCUUCAGUAUGUUCACUUUAAUUUUUGCCUUUUCCUGCAUUCCAACUCCUACAAGUAGUAGCAAAGGCUAAAGGAAAUGGCCUCUGACUAAGCAUUAGCUACCAGCGUGCCCUCAUUAUAGCUGAGGGCUCUUAUUCUCACUUAGCCUACGUGCAGAGCCAGCUAGUCUUUCAGCUGUGAUGACGAAAUGCCAUGCAUUUCUUCCUGGAAUAGUACGCAGAUAAGAGGCCACUUGUUAUGCUGAGGUUUCAGAUGAACUCCACUAAGGGUUUCAAAACACUCUGUCACAAUUAUAUCAGGUUUCUUUAGCAACGAAUUCAUUUCAGACACUUGUAAGAUAAAAAGGGAAGAGAUGUUAGUUUAUUUUCCCUUGUGGUUUCACUGUUUAAACCUUUACAGUAUAUGACUGGAUAGUUUAUACAUGGCCUAAAUUUAUUAAUUUUCAAUAAAACUAGCAAAUCAAAAUGGAUCUGUUCCUUUGUUGAAAUUCACGUUAUUUGUAGACCCUUAUGUGUACCUGUAACUUCAGAGAAGAAACAUGUCUGUGACAUGCUGCUCGAAAGGUCCUGCUGUGCAAACUCAGUUGCUGAGUGCCUUGAACUCAUUCUGGGUCCAGCAAAAGCUGAGAGUUUUCAGAACCUUGCAGCACAAAAGGUUAAUCCUUUAUCCUGGGGUUGAGUUCAGGUGCUAGGACAUGAGUGCGCAGUACGAGCCCAGUUGACCUAAGUAUUACUUAGCAGCAGUGGGAGGACCUGUUUGUGAGAUCAUUUUGCAGAUUUGGGGCCUGUUUAGGUGAUUCCAUGCACUAACAAAAGCAGCUUUAGCAGGAUCAAACAAACCACAGAAAUGUACAGACUGUAAAAGAAAGAGGAAUCUAUGAAGUGUUUGUUUCAAACCAAGCAAUAUCCUUAGUAACAGCAAUAACCGUAUGUUAUUGUGAAGAAAGGAAUAUAUUGCCAGGAGUAUAUAACCCAUGGAUCAUGUGCAGGUUACAUAGCUCUCUUUGCUCAUUCUUAGACGCUAAUUACACAUUUAGAAUCUGUGAUAUGCCCCAUUUCCAUUCAUUCAUUAAGGAUGACAUUAAGUCAGUUGCAACUUGCCUUUCCAUUGGAUCUGCAUGCCACUUGAGAAGGAUGGAAUCAGUAGGAUGGAGAGUCUUACGACGAUAAAUCUGAGUAAAUCGCAGCCUAGAUAAGUAUUUAAUAUUAAAAAAAAAAAACAAACCCAACCCAAAAUGGCAUCUCUCUUUCAUCACUUCCCCUGCAGUUCUCUACAUUUACUAAUAUAUCAUUAACUGGGAACUAAAAGCUAAAUUCAAUUUCCUUUUAAGACAACAAAAUUUUCUUUUUCCAUUUACAUAAUGGAAUUUGGAUCAGGUCUUAAGUCUGUAACCUUAUUCCUUUAAUGCCUUCCAAAUAAAUGUGUAAUUCCCAGUGAGAUCACUAGGAAUCUUGGCUAUUCAAAGUUUGUUCUUUUUUUCUGCAACUGUUCUUCAGUGAAGAGGGUCCCCUUUGAAAAGGUCCAGAGAACACUAGAGCUGUCAAACCCACUACAUCCCUUAAUUACCUUUGGGGUUUUUUUUUUCCUUUCUUGGGCUAGUUAUUGCCUACUCAGAAAAAAAUAAGAACAAAUUUCCCUCAUUAAUAAAUUAUUUGGUAAUUGUUUACUAGAGAUAGGUGAUUCUUGCACAUUACUAUGAAGAAGUCCUGUCCUCGCCAGAACAGGACAGACCAACAAGCCUAUGUUUCUCCAUGAUUUUUCUAAUCUCUUUUUGUUGAAAUGUGAAAGCCUAAAUAAUGUUGCUGCAGUGGUCACUAGCAGGUCUUUUAAACGCUAGACAAUUAAUGUUCACAAAAAUUCUAAUCCACCAAGUAUAAAUAUGAAUUACGGGCAAUUUCUUUUUUGAACCGCUGCUGUCAUGAGCUUUGAUUUUAAUUAAACACCAUGAUGACAAAUUUGUUAGAAAUGGUACUUGUUAAAUACUGCUACUUCGAAAGCUUCUUUGUUUUGUAAAACUGGUUGUUUAUAAGUCGUCUUACAUGUUGUUUGGAGCAUCUUGCUGUGGUUUAUCUUAUUUCUAUCUUUAGAAGACUUGAUCUUAAUGUCUGAAAAAGACAUUGUUUUUUCAUGGAGUAUCAUGGGGAAGAAAAACCCCACAGUGCCUUUCUUGCAAAUUAUACUAAAAGGCUAACUGCUGUUCUGUGGUUCAAAACCUUGAAAUGUUUUAAACUGAAAUUACUACAAUUGAAAAUUUGUCAUCUUUACUGAAAGCACAGAACCAGUGAACACAGUCCCACCAGCGCUCGUACUAGUGAAACCAAUUUUCUUCCCUUCUUUGGCCUUUGCCACCUUCUGCCCGUCCUGCCGUGCAAUCCCUGCUCCUACUGCCCAGGACAUCUCCUGCUGAGGAGAGGGAGUGCGUGUCAUCUAACCUAACCACAGUUCCUAGUGAUGCGGUGAUUCUUCCGGUGGACACAGCGGUGGGAUAAUUGCAUAGAGAUUAAUUUUCAGUUCCAGUAAGUGAGAAUCUCUCUCUCUACGUAUGGUGGCCUCAGACUCCCUGCUGCAAAAUGUCUGCAGUCUGCAUCCCUGGAGAAUCACUAGGAGUUGAAGAAAACUUCCAAAUGUUGUACUCAUCUGUGAGGGAAACAAGGAAGCUGCCUUCUCCCAAGUUAUCAACAGGCAAACUCGAGAAUAAAGAGAUUAACAGAC